GAAAUCGGGCUGGCUAUUUAUCCAAUUAUAUCAUUCUUUUGUGUCAUCUGUUUUUAGCCUGUUUAUGUCUAGAACAUCUAUCAAUGGGUUGUUAGGAAGAGGCUCAAUGUUUGUGUUUUCACCAGAUCAAUUUCAGAGACUGCUUAAAAUUAAUCCGGACUGGAAAACCCAUAGACUUCUUGAUUUAGGUGCUGGAGAUGGAGAAGUCACAAAAAUCAUGAGCCCUCAUUUUGAAGAAAUCUACGCCACUGAGCUUUCUGAAACCAUGAUAUGGCAGCUUCAGAAAAAGAAAUACAGAGUACUCGGUAUAAAUGAAUGGCAGAAUACAGGGUUCCAAUAUGAUGUCAUCAGCUGCUUGAAUCUGUUGGACCGCUGUGAUCAGCCCCUGACUUUGUUAAAAGAUAUCAGAAGUGUUUUGGAGCCAACCAGAGGCAGGGUCAUCCUUGCCUUGGUCCUACCCUUCCAUCCUUAUGUAGAAAACGGUGGCAAGUGGGAGAAACCAUCAGAAAUUUUGGAAAUCAAAGGACAGAACUGGGAAGAACAAGUGAAUAGUCUGCCUGAAGUUUUCAGAAAAGCUGGUUUUGUUAUCGAAGCUUUCACCAGACUGCCGUACCUGUGUGAAGGCGACAUGUAUAAUGACUACUAUGUUCUGGAUGACGCUGUCUUUGUUCUCAAACCAGUAUAAACAUUGGAGGUCGAAGUCUUCAGAGUUCGUACCCUCCAGGAUGCACCUUCCAGAAGAGGGUCUGUGUUAACAAUUAUGUGAAGGGAGGGCCUUUGGGGACUGUCAUUCUAAAUAUCAUGUAGGAAUUUUAAAAGCCAAAAUACUAAUUAUUUCUUUGUAGUGUCUAAAAGGAAUGUUUUUAAAAAACAAAACCCAACUCUUUGUGGAUUUUUACCAACUCUUUACUCAGAGUCACACUCCAAUGCAGGUCACACUCCAAUUAUGAUGGAAGAUAUUUUUUAUACUUAAUUGCAGUAGGGACUCAUUCCCAGAAAAAGCAAUAGUCAUGACUUCAUGGAACCAGUAAAUGGAUUGUUUUUACUAAAAUGGAGACUGGCAAUAAAGCUGUCCAUUCAGUUGCAAAUACUGAUUAUAAGGUAUAGCCACUGAUACUCUUUCAUGUUUAAAAAUUCUUUCUGUUAUUAUGCAAGAAAAUGUUUUUAAUCAUGCUAAUAAAAUUUUUUGGAGA